AUUUAGUUUUCCAAGGUACCUCCAUACUGUUUUCCAUAGUGGUUGUACCAAUUUACAUUCCCACCAAAUGUGUUGGAGGGUACAGUACUCUUUUCUCCACACUCCCUCCAGCAUUUGUUAUUUACUUUUGGAUGAUGACCAUUCUGGCUGGUAUAAGGUGGUACCUCAUCGUGGUCUUCAUUAGCAUUUCUCUAAUAAUGAGUGAUGUUGAAUAUCUUUUCAUGUGUUUUUUUGGCCAUGGGUAUGUCUUCUUUGGAGAAUUGUCUGUUUAGAUCUUCUGCCCAUUUUUUGAUGGGUUUAUUUUUUUGGUAUGGAGCUGCAGAAGGUGUUUAUAAAUUUUAGAGAUUAAUCCCUUGUCAGUUGAUUCAUUUGCAAAGAUUUUCUCCCAUUCUGGGGGUUGUCUCUUUAUUUUGUUUAGGGUUUCCUUUGCUGUGCAGAAACUUUUAUGUUUGAUUAAGUCCCAUUUGUUUAUUUUUGUUUUUAUUGUCAUUACUCUAGGAGAUGGAUCUGAGAAGAUGUUGCUGUGGUUUAUGUUGGAGAGUGUUUGGCCUCUGUUUUCCUCUAAGAGUUUUAAGUAUCUGGUCUUAUAUGUAGGUCUUUGAUCCAUUUGGAGUUUAUUUUUGUGGAUGGUGUUAGAGAGUGUUCUAAUUUCAUUCUUUUCUGGCUGUCCAGUUUUCCCCAGCACCACAUAUUGAAGGGGCUGUAAUUUCUCCAUUAUAUAUUCCUGCCUCCUUUGCCAUAGGUUAGUUGACUGUAGGGGCAUGGGUUGAAUUAUGGGCUUUCUAUCCUGUUCCACUGAUCUAUAGUUCUGUCUUUGUGCCAGUACCGCACUGUUUUGAUGGCUGUAGCUUUGUAGUAUAGUCUGAGGUCAGGGAGCCUGAUUCCUCCAGCUCCAGUUUUUCUUUUUCAGGAUGUCUUUGGCUAUUCUGGGUCUUUUUUGCUUCCAAACGAACUUUAAAAUAUUUUGUUUGAGUUCUGUAAAAAAUGUUCUUGGUAAUUUGAUAGGGAUUGCACUGAAUCUAUAGAUUGCCUUGGGUAGUAUGGUCUUUUUGAUAAUAUUGACUCUUCCAAUCCAAGAGCAUGGUAUGUCUUUCCAUCUGUUUGUGUCCUCUUUGAUUUCUUUCAUCAGUGUCAUAGUUUUCAGAGUACAGGUCUUUUGUCUCUUUAGGUAGGUUUAUUCCUAUGUAUUUUAUUCUUUU
rnacentral:lncRNA from 1 species